CAUUCAAGCACCAUUUUCUUUUCAACAGCACGUUGGGUGUUAUCCUCGCUCUGGAAUGCCGAGAAAAGCCGGAUCUUCAAGAUUUUCAGUUGAACAUGGAUGAUAGAAGCACAAGUCCUGGGGUCAUGUACUUCAUCCCAUCAGGCAAAACGUAGGAUUUAGUGAUGGGACGAGGACAGGCAAAAAAGCAAAGCAGACAGGAUACUUCAGUUCUGGGCACUUUCACAACACACACUGUCUUCUCAGACCCUGUGCAGAUAUAUACAGAUAUUUUUGAAAACGACAGCAUUUUCGAAAAUACCUCCAUCCACACGGAAACGCAAAAAUGAAUUGAAAACACUCCGCCCCAGUGAUAGUAUGUCAUAAACUGUUAUGUCAAGUGCCUCAGGAAUAAUGUUAAGAACUGUGUAUGGAGUGGUAGAGAAAGCAAAAUGGCUGCAACACGAGGAUACAUACAUUAUGUGUAGACUGAUGAGGAGAUUGAACUACAGCUUAAAAUUCCAACUGAAUACAAAGUGUUUGUCCGGGUCUUGUCCAAAAUCUACAUUGGCUGGAGUGGUGGAUUCAGUGGUGGAUUCAGCAGUACAGUGAGUGAUGAAGUAAAAAUAAAAAAAAAACAAUGUUUUCAAAAAAAUAUUAGUGUACAAGUUCAGAAAAUCAAAUUUUUUUGAGAUUCAAGACCUGAUUUUCCACAGCAUAGGGAGACAAAUAAUCAGAAAUCUGUCCAUCUUCCACAUGUGGCCAAACUGGGGUUUGGUGGAAAAUCAGGAAUCAGUUCUCUGGACCACUCCCAUCACACUUCACCAAAAUUAACACUUGGGGCAAACAGCCUUGAGUCUGUAAAAAAAACACAUGCGUGAAAACAACCUGAGUGUUCACACGUGAGUACAGAUGUUCUCAGCACUGCACACUGAGUAAAGUGAAUGGUUCAAGUUGUCACAUUAUUUCCCGUUUUAAGUUCUGUGAUGCUGGGGAAAUCACUGUUAUGAUCAGCAGAGGAAAUGUAAUGCCUUAUUGAUAUAUAAAACCUGACUUUCAUGGGACUGGAGCACUGUAAUCAGCUCACAGCUCCGGAUUUGCCGGAAUUCCAUCAUUCCAAGAAACCAUUAUUCCAUGCAUCUAAGAAGCAUUGUUCUUUGCUGCUAUAUGAGUGUUGGUACCAAAGGAAAAUGAGUUUAAAAAGCAUAAAGGGAGGUACCUCAUGAUAACCAUUUUGCAAACAAAUCAGUUCAAAAAUGAUAAAUGGAAUUGCACAAUUGACUAAUAUUUUGGGCGGAAAUCUUUGGCAUGUGAAAGCGAACCUGUGAUUGAAUCCCACCCCCAAAUGAGCCCAGAAUCGAUCCUAGGUGCGCACUCCAGUAUUUACGCCAAGUGUGAAAAUGUUCUCAAUUACCACAAACACCAAGACAGAAACAUGUGUGUCUUUAUUAUUAUGUCUCAGCGCCAUGGCCUGUCACAGUAUCGGCGACGCCGUGGGUGUUGGAUGAACGUGUGGUGCAUAACUCUUACUAAGCUCCGGCAGCCGAUUGAGAUUUAAACCCAAUUAAUCCCAGUGUUCCUGACAUAAACUUUCAACAGAACGUCUCCCACCCGCAGGAGAAUACGGUAGAACAAAGUCCCUGCAGACUUCCUUAUUCAUAAAUCUGCUCACGAGCUGCAACCUAACGAGCAUUAGCUCGGAGAGGAUUGCUGCUUAAUUUCAUUUCACGCUGUGCUAAUGGCUUUGACAUGAAGACAACUGGAACCUCGGAAAUCUUUCUCCCUAACGUCGGAACACGUCACCAUUUUUCAUUUCUGUCCUCUCCGCAGAUUCAAAGCACCUUUAAAGAUAACAAAUUACAUCAAGGAGAAAGGCAUUGAAGCCAUUAAUUGGUUUAACUUUGUUGCUUUAAUUAGGACUUCACUAGGGACAGAGAUAAAGGAAGUGAGCAUGUGACUAGCUUAAACAUCUUUUCCACUCCCACUCAGUAUCAUAAUUACCUAGCCUUAAUUUCUCUACUCUUAGUGUUCACGGGCUUAUCAUGUUGAUUGUCAAAAUUCAGGAUUAAAAUGACCCCAAGGAAGGCUGGAAAUCUCAGAGGCACUGUAAUAUGAUUCGAACUCGUCAUUUCAGCGUACUGUGUCAUUAUUUUGACUUCUCAUUAUUUCAAGAUAUUAUACCAUUAUUCUAAGUUAUUAUCUUGGUAUUUCAAGAUACAGCAUGUCAUUAUUUCAACUUAUGUCAUUAUUUCAAGAGCUUGUCUCCUUACUUUAACAUAAUAUCUUAUUAUUUCGACUUAAAAACUUGUUAUUCUGAGAAAUUAUAUUGCUAUU